GUUGGAAGAACAAGUGUCCUUCAUAAUUCUUGAUGUCCUCUCUGCAGAAGGAUCUCGUGGCUGCCUUUGAUGGUGGAGACCAGAAGGUGUUCUUCGAUUUGUGGGAGGAGCAUGUUCCCAGCUCCGUCCGAGAUGGUGAUUCCCUUGCUCAGAAGCUGGAAUUCUAUCUUCACAUUCAUUUUGCCAUUUAUCUUCUGAAGUACUCUGUAGGGAGGCCGGUGGGUUGGCUGUGGUU
rnacentral:lncRNA from 1 species